CGUGCCAGCAGCCGCGGUAAUACGUAGGGUGCGAGCGUUAAUCGGAAUUACUGGGCGUAAAGCGUGCGCAGGCGGUUUUUUAAGACAGGCGUGAAAUCCCCGGGCUUAACCUGGGAACUGCGCUUGUGACUGGAAGGCUAGAGUACGGCAGAGGGGGGUGGAAUUCCACGUGUAGCAGUGAAAUGCGUAGAGAUGUGGAGGAACACCAAUGGCGAAGGCAGCCCCCUGGGCCGAUACUGACGCUCAUGCACGAAAGCGUGGGGAGCAAACAGGAUUAGAUACCCUGGUAGUCCACGCCCUAAACGAUGUCAACUAGGUGUUGGGUGGGUAAAACCAUUUAGUACCGGAGCUAACGCGUGAAGUUGACCGCCUGGGGAGUACGGCCGCAAGGUUAAAACUCAAAGGAAUUGACG
rnacentral:rRNA from 1 species